AUGCAGGCCAGGGGGCUCCUCUCACGCUCUGCCCUUCUCAGAGCAUGCCAGGGCUUCCUGAGCACUGCCCAGCAGCAGCAGCCUGCAGCAGGAGCUGCCCGCAGCAGCCCUCGUCCCUAUCCUGAGAUUCCCUCCCCAGGGGACAACGGCUGGUUCAAUCUGUAUCACUUCUGGAGGGAGAGUGGACCACACAGAAUCCACUACCACCACGUACAGAACUUCCAGAAGUAUGGCCCCAUCUAUAGGGAGAAGUUGGGCAAUGUGGAGUCUGUGUUCAUCAUUGACCCUGAAGAUGUGGCGCUGCUGUUUAAGUCCGAGGGUUCCAGACCGGAGCGGUAUCUCAUCCCGCCCUGGGUCGCCUACCAUGAGUACUACCAGAGGCCCCUGGGAGUCCUGUUUAAGAAGUCCGAGGCCUGGAAGAAAGACCGAAUGGCCCUGAACCAAGAGGUCAUGGCCCCAGGGGCCAUCAAAAACUUUGUGCCCCUCCUGGAGGCCGUGUCCCAGGACUUCGCCCGGGUCUUGCACAAGCGCAUUCAACGGGAGGAUUCCGGGGCCUUCUCAGGAGAUAUCAGCCACGACCUGUUCCGCUUUGCUUUUGAGUCCAUCACCAAUGUCAUGUUUGGGGAGCGCCUGGGGAUGCUGGAAGAGACUGUGGAUCCCGAGGCCCAGCGCUUCAUCGAUGCGGUCUACCAGAUGUUCCACACCAGUGUGCCCAUGCUCAGCCUGCCCCCCAGUCUCUUCCGUCUCUUCAGGACCAAGACCUGGAGGGAGCAUGUGGCCGCAUGGGAUGUGAUUUUCACCAAAGCUGACAAAUACACCCAGAACUUCUACUGGGACCUGCGGCAGAGGAAGGAGCUCGGGGACAGCUACCGUGGCAUCCUCUGCAACCUCGUGGGGAGCAGCAAGCUGUCCUUUGAGGACAUCAAGGCCAAUGUCACUGAGAUGCUGGCUGGAGGUGUGGACACGACGUCAAUGACCCUGCAGUGGCACCUGUAUGAGAUGGGGCGCUGCCUUAAGGUGCAGGAGAUGCUGCGGGCAGAGGUCAUGGCUGCCCGGCGCCAGGCCCAGGGAGACACAGCCGCGAUGCUGCAGUUGGUGCCACUCCUCAAGGCCAGCAUCAAGGAGACGCUGAGGCAAGUGCAGGCCCACCACACCUGCUGCCCUGCACCCUGGAUGGGCACAACCCUGGGGCAGAGGCUGGGUUGGGGGGAAGAAAUACAGCAAUCCUGGGCUCCUGGAGGAGCCUUCAGCAGAUGUGCAUGGGGGUUGCAGCAGGGGGCGUGGCCUGUGUCCUGGCCUGGGGCCAGUGGCUCCUGAACCCCAUCUCCAUCAGGCUGCACCCCAUCUCUGUGACACUGCAGAGAUACCUCGUGAACGACCUGGUCCUUCGAGAUUACCUCAUACCAGCCAAGGUGGGUACAGUCAGGGGCCCCGGGGCUCUGCCCAGGCACACAAGGCUCUCCGAAGACCCCAUGUUGAUGGGUGAGGCUUGGGUCCAGGCUGUUGGUAUCAGGUGGUCAGUGGCAGGGGUUGGGGGCAUCCCUACAUCGCUGGGUGCUGCGGGAAGGCCUCCCUCAGGCCUCUGCUCCUCUUUUCCUGCUACCUCCCACCCUUAGACGUUGGUGCAGGUGUCCAACUACGCCAUGGGCCGAGAACCCAACUUCUUUGACAACCCAGAGAAGUUUGACCCCUCACGAUGGCUAAGCAACGACAAGACCAUUACCCACUUCCGGAACCUGGGCUUCGGCUGGGGCCUGCGCCAGUGCCUGGGCCGGCGGAUCGCGGAGACGGAAAUGAGCCUCUUCCUCAUCCACCCCUGGCCUGAUCCUGGUUCCCUGCAGCCAGCUUGUCCAGCAGCCCACAGCUGGCAUCUACCCUCUCCCAGCCCCUGCCAGAGGUGGUGAUAGGAAGGGGGUGGGGCUUAAGAUCAAGUUCCAAGUACUG